AUUCCAGCUCCAAUAGCGUAUAUUAAUGUUGUUGCAGUUAAAAAGCUCGUAGUUGGAUUUCUGGUGGGAGUGGCCGGUCCGCCGUAAGGUGUGUACUUGGUUGUCUCCCGUCAUCCUUGUGGGAACUGCUCUGGCAUUAAGUUGUCGGGGUUAGGGAACACAUCGUUUACUGUGAAAAAAUUAGAGUGUUUAAAGCAGGCUUAUGCCGUUGAAUACAUUAGCAUGGAAUAAUAAGAUAGGACUUUGGCGUCUAUUUUGUUGGUUUGCACACCAAGGUAAUGAUUAAUAGGGUCAGUUGGGGGCAUUAGUAUUUAAGUGUCAGAGGUGAAAUUCUUGGAUUGCUUAAAGACUAACUUCUGCGAAAGCAUUUGCCAAGGAUGUUUUCAUUG
rnacentral:rRNA from 1 species